GAUCUACUCUUCUCUGGCGCACACACACUCUUCUGCGGAUCUGAGCCUCGACGUGCUGCAUCGGGAAAACCAGGAGUGCUGGCGGUGUCUGGAGCCCAGAGGGGAAAAAAACAUAAAUAAAUUACAUCCGUUUUGUGAAUCGGCCCUGGAGUCAGCAAGAAUGCAGGAAGAUGGCAAAUUUACAUCACCAAAGACAAUUUGUACAUGGAGCAUAACAGCAAAAAUAGGCUCAUAAAUCACAUUAGCUGCGGCCCUGAGUGCCAUCGAUUACCUCACGGCACAAUGAAUGGGGACAUUAAAGCCUCUGGUGCCUAAACAUCCACAUCAGGAGCCUCUGCGCGGGAUAUACGAGGCCAGGACCCCCCCGAGACGAGAAGGAGAGGGAACAUCAGAUGCGGCCGGUCUGGAAUCUGAAAGAAGGAAGGAGGAUCCAGCUGAGAAUAUCAUUCUGGCACAUCGCCGGCUGAGGUUUCAAGUAUGAAAUGAGAUGAGAUUGGAGCGACUGCUGUAACCUUUAAGGAGAUUGCCGAGCUGAACUAGGUCAUGUAACAUCCAGCCGGGUUUGAUAAAAGUGUUUCAGUUCCAGAGAUGCAGACAUUGAUUUGUUUGGUCUUUCCUCCACAGCAUCAGUGCCAUGAGAAAUCGGCUCCAAAGAAAGUAAGCAUACCAUAUUUUCUUUUUUGAGUGUCUGACAGCUUUUCCUGACACUGGUGUGAUCUACGUCAGGAAACCCUGUCAAUCACACACUGGGUUAAUCAUCAAACGUUGUACAUGACACCAUUUCUGAAAGCCUGCUCACAGUGCCAUUCUGAAUUCUGUUCUUACAUAUUCAAAACUUCAGCUUCAUACUUCAUAAGACAGAAUAAUAAAAAAGGACUUGGGCCAAUGACUUUCAUGAGAGUGUAUUUAACAGUCGUCUCAGACACUCCUGAAAUAUCCCAGAGAAAAAGUGUAAAGUGUUGUUCGGGGUCGGAGUGUUCAUCGCAGGUGUGUUAGUGUUGUGCGGAACGAGCCGGGAUUUAUUUAUUUAUUUAUAAACAUUUAUUAGAGGAUCAGCCCCAUGAGAUGAAACAUCUCGUUUUCAUGGGGGUCCUCAGUAAUAUUUCCAAAUAAUAAAGAAAAGCAAAGAAGAAGAAGAAAAGCAAGAAGUGCUGCAUUUUAUCAUUUAAACAUGUGAAUUUUCAUGAAAAUUCUAUAAUCCAAGAUUGCUGCCACCAUAUGAUGUCAUAAUAUGCAAAUUAGAUGGGAAAAUGUAAUCCCUAAACUGUGGGUUAUCCUUAAUAUUUCUCUAAUUUACGGAAAGUCUCUAUCUUUUAUCCCUUUUAAGAUAUAGCCUUUUGAAAUUAAGAAGGACGUUUUAGGAAAAAUCAAAUGUUUUAGGAAAAAAACUAAAGGAUUAAAGAACAUUAAGGUUAUAAAAACUUUGGACCCCAUUGACAUUCAUUGUUUAGGUAAAUAACAAACAAUCUAAAAUAUUAUUCUAAAUAUUUAAUCAUUCAUUAUUCAAAAGCAUGUUUAAAGCUCCUUUAAUGAACAUUCAGGUUAGAAAAAUGUGGACCCCUUUGACAUUUGCUAUAUUGGCAAAAAACAAACAAAAACAUUAAUCAGAAUAUUUCAUUAUUCAAAAUAUGAUGACAGCAUUGUCAUUGCUGGGCCAAUUAUUCCUUUAAGACUGCUUUGCCAUGUUCUUUUUACCAUCUCGGCUGUGCAAGCUGUGACUCUCUGUGCCUUUCCCUGUGUGUGCACUGUAUAAUGUAUAUUAGCGCUCUCCAUGAAGCGGCUCAGCCACUGCUGGAACUCUGUAAAUGUCACUGAUGGUAUUAAAGAGGAUAGUGAUCAUUCCUAGCAGUCAUUUCCAGUGCUGACGUGCGAGACCUGGAAACCUAAUCAUGAGACUGCUGUAUAUCAAUGUGCCUUGACAGAAUUCAUAUUUUCUUCCUUACAACACUAAAUGUUUUAUUUUUUUGCCAUGGACAGUAUUUGAUGACCAUGUCCCCUUCUUCUUUCCAUUAUUUCUUAUUCAAUGCCUGUCCAGCUUCGUCAAAUACAGUCAGAUUCUAUGUAAGAGCAAGUUAACCUGGCCAAUAACAACGGCUGUGAUUCUAAAUCUGAACCUCCUGUCCUUGCCCACUCCCAUUGGUCGAAUCCUCUUCAGACAGCAUUGUUUUCGCUCCCUGUGAUCUAAGGGAUCACAUUACUGAGUGAAAAUACUUCCUUCAAUCCCAGUGUAAUGAGUCUCUAUAGACAAAUGACAUCAGGUUGAUUUCCCUGAAAGAUCCCCAGUUUGAUUGCUGCAAUAUUCAUUGUUAGUCAUUAUAGUAAUUAUUAUUGAAAACAGAUAUUAUUGAAAUAGAAAUCCUGUAACAUCUGCAAUUGCGGGUGGCUCCUCUACUAAAUGAUUGCAACUUUCACACACAUCUGAUCGACAGAUAAACUGGGGUAAACUUUAUAAUUCAACUGAACGGUGCACAUCCAUUUCAGACAUAUCCUUCAUUAUGUUCUUUCUCCAUCCAUGCAAUCAAUGCAUGUCCACGAAUGAGGGCUGAUUUCCUGCCGAUUUACUUCAGGUAAUGUCUAUGGUUUGGUCUAUUUCUGAGGUGGCCAAAGUUAGAAUUUAAAAUGCACUGAUUAACAGUUCUUU